rnacentral:rRNA from 1 species
AUUGAACGCUGGCGGCAUGCCUUACACAUGCAAGUCGAACGGCAGCGGGGGAGAAGCUUGCUUUUCCUGCCGGCGAGUGGCGAACGGGUGAGUAAUACAUCGGAACGUGCCCUGUAGUGGGGGAUAACUAGUCGAAAGAUUAGUUAAUACCGCAUACGACCUGAGGGUGAAAGUGGGGGACCGCAAGGCCUCAUGCUAUAGGAGCGGCCGAUGUCUGAAUAGCUAGUUGGUGGGGUAAAGGCCUACCAAGGCGACGAUCAGUAGCUGGUCUGAGAGGACGAUCAGCCACACUGGGACUGAGACACGGCCCAGACUCCUACGGGAGGCAGCAGUGGAGAAUUUUGGACAAUGGGCGAAAGCCUGAUCCAGCAAUGCCGCGUGUGUGAAGAAGGCCUUCGGGUUGUAAAGCACUUUUGUCCGGAAAGAAAUGGCUCUGGUUAAUACCUGGGGUCGAUGACGGUACCGGAAGAAUAAGGACCGGCUAACUACGUGCCAGCCGCCGCGGUAA